rnacentral:rRNA from 1 species
UUAAGCUCUUCGGAACUUGACUUAGUGGCGAACGGGUGAGUAACGCGUGAGGAACCUGCCUUUCAGUGGGGGACAACAGUUGGAAACGACUGCUAAUACCGCAUGACACUUUUGGGAGACAUCUCCUGGAAGUCAAAGCUUUAUGUGCUGAAAGAUGGCCUCGCGUCUGAUUAGCUAGUUGGUGAGGUAACGGCUCACCAAGGCGACGAUCAGUAGCCGGUCUGAGAGGAUGAACGGCCACAUUGGGACUGAGAUACGGCCCAGACUCC